AGUGAACGCUGGCGGUAGGCCUAACACAUGCAAGUCGAACGGCAGCACAGUAAGAGCUUGCUCUUACGGGUGGCGAGUGGCGGACGGGUGAGGAGUACAUCGGAAUCUACUUUUUCGUGGGGGAUAACGUAGGGAAACUUACGCUAAUACCGCAUACGACAUACGGGUGAAAGCAGGGGAUCUUCGGACCUUGCGCGAUUGAAUGAGCCGAUGUCGGAUUAGCUAGUUGGCGGGGUAAAGGCCCACCAAGGCGACGAUCCGUAGCGGGUCUGAGAGGAUGAUCAGCCACACUGGAACUGAGACACGGUCCAGACUCCUACGGGAGGCAGCAGUGGGGAAUAUUGGACAAUGGGCGCAAGCCUGAUCCAGCCAUACCGCGUGGGUGAAGAAGGCCUUCGGGUUGUAAAGCCCUUUUGUUGGGAAAGAAAAGCAGCAGGUUAAUACCCCGCUGUUCUGACGGUACCCAAAGAAUAAGCACCGGCUAACUUCGUG
rnacentral:rRNA from 1 species